rnacentral:rRNA from 1 species
GACGAACGCUGGCGGCGUGCUUAACACAUGCAAGUCGAACGGAAAGGCCCUGCUUUUGUGGGGUGCUCGAGUGGCGAACGGGUGAGUAACACGUGAGUAACCUGCCCUUGACUUUGGGAUAACUUCAGGAAACUGGGGCUAAUACCGGAUAGGAGCUCCUGCUGCAUGGUGGGGGUUGGAAAGUUUCGGCGGUUGGGGAUGGACUCGCGGCUUAUCAGCUUGUUGGUGGGGUAGUGGCUUACCAAGGCUUUGACGGGUAGCCGGCCUGAGAGGGUGACCGGCCACAUUGGGACUGAGGUACGGCCCAGACUCCUACGGGAGGCAGCAGUGGGGAGUAUUGCACAGUGGGCGGAAGCCUGAUGCAGCAACGCCGCGUGCGGGAUGACGGCCUUCGGGUUGUAAACCGCUUUCGCCUGUGACGAAGCGUGAGUGACGGUAAUGGGUAAAGAAGCACCGGCUAACUACGUG